rnacentral:rRNA from 1 species
AGGAGGCUAGUGUUAGUUAUCUUUAUUGGGUUUAAAGGGUAAGUAGACGGUAAAUUAAACUCUAAACGAGUACUUUUUUACUAGAGUUAUAUGAGAGAAGGAAGAAUUUCUGGAGUAGAGAUAAAAUUUGAUGAUACCAGGAGGACUGUCAACGGCGAAGGCGUCCUUCUAUGUAAUAACUGACGUUGAGAGACGAAGGCUUGGGUAGCAAACAGGAUUAGAUACCCUAAUAGUCCAAGCAGACAAUGAUGAAUGUCAUACAUUAGAUAUAUAUUUAAUGUAUAAACGAAAGUGUAAGCAUUCCACCUCAAGAGUACUAUGGCAA